AUUGAACGCUGGCGGAAUGCUUUACACAUGCAAGUCGAACGGCAGCACGGGGCAACCUGGUGGCGAGUGGCGAACGGUGAGUAAUACAUCGGAACGUGCCCAAUCGUGGGGAUAACGUAGCGAAAGUUACGCUAAUACCGCAUACGAUCUACGGAUGAAAGCGGGGAUCGCAAGACCUCGCGCGAAUGGAGCGGCCGAUGUCAGAUUAGGUAGUUGGUGGGUAAAGGCUCACCAAGCCAACGAUCUGUAGCUGGUCUGAGAGGACGACCAGCCACACUGGAACUGAGACACGGUCCAGACUCCUAC
rnacentral:rRNA from 1 species